UACAGAGGGGGCAAGCGUUAUUCGGAAUUAUUGGGCGUAAAGGGCGCGUAGGCGGCUUCGCAAGUGACGGGUGAAAUCCCUCGGCUUAACCGAGGAACUGCCUGUCAAACUGCGUGGCUUGAGACCAGGAGAGGUGAGUGGAAUUCCCAGUGUAGCGGUGAAAUGCGUAGAUAUUGGGAGGAACACCAGUGGCGAAGGCGGGUCUCUGGACAGUUCCUGACGCUGAGGCACGAAGGCCAGGGGAGCAAACGGG
rnacentral:rRNA from 1 species